ACGGGGGGGGCUAGCGUUGUUCGGAAUCAUUGGGCGUAAAGAGCGUGUAGGCGGCGGGUUAAGUCAGAUGUGAAAGCUCUGGGCUUAACCCAGGAAGUGCACUUGAAACUGGUCAUCUUGAGUUAGGGAGAGGAGAGCGGAAUUCCAGGUGUAGCGGUGAAAUUCGUAGAUAUCAGGAGGAACACCAGUGGCGAAGGCGACUCUCUGGCCUUGGACUGACGCUGAGGCGCGAAAGCGUGGGUAGCAAACAG
rnacentral:rRNA from 1 species